GUGGCUGUCUGUGAACCUAAUCCUUGUGAAAAUGGUGGUACCUGUUCACCAACUGACAACAGUUACAGCUGUAAUUGUCCUGCUGGAUAUUUGGGUAAACUCUGUGACGUUAAUACCUGUGAUGUACACAACCCCUGUUUAAAUGGUACGUGUUAUAUAUCAGAACGUGGUGUGAGUUGUAGCUGUCCUCCUAACUUUCCAGGAAUCUAUUGCGAGACGAUUGAUUGUAAUUUUGAUGAGAGUUACUGUGCAUGGAAACAGUCGUCCGAUGAUAUUUUUGAUUGGAUAAGAAACAGCGGCAGAACACAUUCAGGUGGCACAGGACCACAAAAUGACCAUACAGGCG